GCAGAAAGCAACUACACACAAACAAGAUCCCACAACUGAAGAUGAUGCCAGCAGAGUCGCCUUUGGGGUCAGGAGCCUGAGGCUAUCCUGAGGCUAGGAGUGUCCAACCAGAUUUAUAUCCCUGAGAGAGGAGCAACAUCCAUUCUACUAGCAGGUGAGCUGAUCCUAUUUGCCAGCCUGGUGAGAUCUACCAGUCUAUAAAUCUAAACCAACCAACAAAAUGUAUGAAACACAACACACCACUAAGUAUGGACCUGCCGCUAUGAUACCAAUUUGAUACGCAAAUAUAAUGUGGACCAAUAACAUGUUUUCCAUAAAUAAGUGCAACUAAUUUCAUUUCCUACCUUAGUGUGACUUUUGGCAUUGGGUCGUUUUGGCAUUGGCAAGUCGUUUUUCAUAGUCAGGGCUGUAGCAGCUUGUUGCAAGUCUCAUGCGGGCCACAAGGUGGUCAUCAGUCAUAGCAGAUCUGUACUUGGACUUUAUUAUCGUCAUGUGAGAAAAUGCAGACUCACAGAGGUAGGUUGAUCCAAAAAGGGCUGAGAAGUUGAGAGCACAUCUUCUUAUGUUGGGAUACUUCUCCUCCAGCAGCAGCUCCCAGAACUCUUCCUUCAUCUCAGUGGCUGCCUUGGAUUUCAGCUGAAUGUCAUUUUGAAUGGUGAGAAAUUCAGUUUCUGCUAUAGUUGUGUCCAACUGAAAAAGUGAUCCCAUUUGAGGCAAUGACUUCCACAUUUA